UACAGAGGUCCCAAGCGUUGUUCGGAUUCAUUGGGCGUAAAGGGUGCGUAGGUGGCGAGGUUAGUCAGGUGUGAAAUCUCGGGGCUCAACCCCGAAACUGCACUUGAUACUGCCUUGCUAGAGUACUGGAGAGGAGAUUGGAAUUUACGGUGUAGCAGUGAAAUGCGUAGAUAUCGUAAGGAAGACCAGUGGCGAAGGCGAAUCUCUGGACAGUUACUGACACUGAGGCACGAAGGCCAGGGGAGCAAACGGGG
rnacentral:rRNA from 1 species